rnacentral:rRNA from 1 species
CGGCGUGCUUAACACAUGCAAGUCGAACGAGAAUCAGUGGAUCAAGGAUUCGUCUGAGUGAAGCUGAGGAAAGUGGCGGACGGGUGAGUAACGCGUGAGCAAUCUGCCUUGGAGUGGGGAAUAACGGCUGGAAACAGCCGCUAAUACCGCAUGACGCGUCUGGGAGGCAUCUCUCUGGACGCCAAAGAUUUAUCGCUCUGAGAUGAGCUCGCGUCUGAUUAGCUAGUUGGCGGGGUAACGGCCCACCAAGGCGACGAUCAGUAGCCGGACUGAGAGGUUGGCCGGCCACAUUGGGACUGAGACACGGCCCAGACUCCUACGGGAGGCAGCAGUGGGGAAUAUUGGGCAAUGGGCGCAAGCCUGACCCAGCAACGCCGCGUGAAGGAAGAUGGCUUUCGGGUUGUAAACUUCUUUUCUGGGGGACGAACAAAUGACGGUACCCCAGGAAUAAGCCACGGCUAACUACGUGCCAGCAGCCGCGGUAAUACGUAGGUGGCAAGCGUUAUCCGGAUUUAUUGGGUGUAAAGGGCGUGUAGGCGGGAAUGCAAGUCAGAUGUGAAAACUCAGGGCUCAACCCUGAGCCUGCAUUUGAAACUGUGUUUCUUGAGUGCUGGAGAGGCAAUCGGAAUCCCGUGUGUAGCGGUGAAAUGCGUAGAUAUACGGAGGAACACCAGUGGCGAAGGCGGAUUGCUGGACAGUAACUGACGCUGAGGCGCGAAAGCGUGGGGAGCAAACAGGAUUAGAUACCCUGGUAGUCCACGCCGUAAACGAUGGAUACUAGGUGUGGGGGGACUGACCCCCUCCGUGCCGCAGCUAACGCAAUAAGUAUCCCACCUGGGGAGUACGAUCGCAAGGUUGAAACUCAAAGGAAUUGACGGGGGCCCGCACAAGCGGUGGAGUAUGUGGUUUAAUUCGAAGCAACGCGAAGAACCUUACCAGGGCUUGACAUCCUACUAACGAACCAGAGAUGGAUUAGGUGCCCUUCGGGGAAAGUAGAGACAGGUGGUGCAUGGUUGUCGUCAGCUCGUGUCGUGAGAUGUUGGGUUAAGUCCCGCAACGAGCGCAACCCCUAUUGUUAGUUGCUACGCAAGAGCACUCUAGCGAGACUGCCGUUGACAAAACGGAGGAAGGUGGGGACGACGUCAAAUCAUCAUGCCCCUUACGUCCUGGGCCACACACGUACUACAAUGGCGGCCAACAAAGAGAGGCAAGGCCGCGAGGUGGAGCAAAUCUCAAAAAGCCGUCCCAGUUCGGAUCGCAGGCUGCAACCCGCCUGCGUGAAGUUGGAAUCGCUAGUAAUCGCGGAUCAGCAUGCCGCGGUGAAUACGUUCCCG